UACCUACUUGUACUCAUCACCUCCUCCUCCCAAGAAGCCCUAUUAUUAUCACUCUCCUCCACCACCUUCACCUCCUCCACCUAAGCCAUACUACUAUCAUUCACCACCACCACCUUCACCUCCUCCACCCAAGCCAUACUACUAUCACUCACCACCACCACCUUCACCUCCUCCACCUAAACCAUACUACUAUCACUCACCACCACCACCUUCACCUCCUCCACCUAAACCAUACUACUAUCACUCACCACCACCACCUUCACCUCCUCCACCUAAACCAUACUACUAUCACUCACCACCACCACCUUCACCUCCUCCACCUAAGUCAUAUUACUAUCACUCACCACCACCACCACCCAAAAAGAAGCCAUACUACUACCAUUCUCCCCCACCACCUUCACCACCUCCUCCUAAGCCAUACUACUAUCACU
rnacentral:lncRNA from 1 species